GAUGAACGCUGGCGGCGUGCUUAACACAUGCAAGUCGAACGGAGAAAGGGUAGCUUGCUAUCUUUUCUUAGUGGCGGACGGGUGAGUAACGCGUGGGUAACCUGCCCUUUGCAGGGGGAUAACAGUGAGAAAUCACUGCUAAUACCGCAUACCAACUUCUUUCGCAUGAAAGAAGUUUGAAAGAUUUAUCGGCAAAGGAUGGACCCGCGUUGGAUUAGCUAGUUGGUGAGAUAACAGCCCACCAAGGCAACGAUCCAUAGCCGGCCUGAGAGGGUGAACGGCCACACUGGGACUGAGACACGGCCCAGACUCCUACGGGAGGCAGCAGUGGGGAAUAUUGCACAAUGGGCGAAAGCCUGAUGCAGCGACGCCGCGUGAAGGAUGAAGGUCUUCGGAUUGUAAACUUCUAUCAGCAGGGAAGAAAGGGCCUAUGGCCUAUGACGGUACCUGACUAAGAAGCCCCGGCUAACUACGUGCCAGCAGCCGCGGUAAAAGUGU
rnacentral:rRNA from 1 species